rnacentral:piRNA from 1 species
UAGUCAUGUUCAUGGAGGAGUGUGU